rnacentral:rRNA from 1 species
GAUGAACGCUGGCGGCGUGCCUAAUACAUGCAAGUCGAGCGAACGGACGAGAAGCUUGCUUCUCUGAUGUUAGCGGCGGACGGGUGAGUAACACGUGGAUAACCUACCUAUAAGACUGGGAUAACUUCGGGAAACCGUAGCUAAUACCGGAUAAUAUUUUGAACCGCAUGGUUCAAAAGUGAAAGACGGUCUUGCUGUCACUUAUAGAUGGAUCCGCGCUGCAUUAGCUAGUUGGUAAGGUAACGGCUUACCAAGGCAACGAUGCAUAGCCGACCUGAGAGGGUGAUCGGCCACACUGGAACGGUGACACGGUCCAGACGCCUAAGGGAGGCAGCAGUAGGGAAUCUGCCGCAAUGGGCGAAAGCCUGACGGAGCAACGCCGCGUGAGUGAUGAAGGUCUUCGGAUCGUAAAACUCUGUUAUUAGGGAAGAACAUAUGUGUAAGUAACUGUGCACAUCUUGACGGUACCUAAUCAGAAAGCCACGGCUAACUACGUG